rnacentral:rRNA from 1 species
AUGGAGCGGCGGGCGAAGGCAAGCGAGGUCGACGGCACGGCUGCCCACCGUGGCGCGCCACGCGAGUUCCUGGGUGCAGACACGGCGGAGAAGCAACGAGGUGGAGGCGACGACGUCGUCAACGAUGGUGGCGGCGCGGCGAAGCUAAAGGAGGACGAGAAGCAGAAGACGGCGGCGGAGGGGGUGAAGCCGCUGCCGCACAAGCAGGUUCCGCAGCCUAGCGAUGUGUACAACCCGGAGCUCGAGCGCCUCUGA